GACGAACGCUGGCGGCGUGCUUAACACAUGCAAGUCGAACGAAGAGCGAUGGAAGCUUGCUUCUAUCGAUCUUAGUGGCGAACGGGUGAGUAACGCGUAAUCAACCUGCCCUUCAGAGGGGGACAACAGUUGGAAACGACUGCUAAUACCGCAUACGAUCUAACCUCGGCAUCGAGGAUAGAUGAAAGGUGGCCUCUACAUGUAAGCUAUCACUGAAGGAGGGGAUUGCGUCUGAUUAGCUAGUUGGAGGGGUAACGGCCCACCAAGGCGAUGAUCAGUAGCCGGUCUGAGAGGAUGAACGGCCACAUUGGGACUGAGACACGGCCCAGACUCCUACGGGAGGCAGCAGUGGGGAAUCUUCCGCAAUGGACGAAAGUCUGACGGAGCAACGCCGCGUGAGUGAUGACGGCCUUCGGGUUGUAAAGCUCUGUUAAUCGGGACGAAAGGCCUUCUUGCGAAUAGUUAGAAGGAUUGACGGUACCGGAAUAGAAAGCCACGGCUAACUACGUG
rnacentral:rRNA from 1 species